rnacentral:rRNA from 1 species
GUAAGGAAUAUUGGUCAAUGGAGGCAACUCUGAACCAGCCAUGCCGCGUGCAGGAAGACGGCCCUCUGGGUUGUAAACUGCUUUUAUACGGGAAUAAACCUUCGGUCGUGACCGAAGCUGAAUGUACUGUAAGAAUAAGGAUCGGCUAACUCCGUGCCAGCAGCCGCGGUAAUACGGAGGAUCCAAGCGUUAUCCGGAUUUAUUGGGUUUAAAGGGUGCGUAGGCGGCCUGUUAAGUCAGGGGUGAAAGACGGUAGCUCAACUAUCGCAGUGCCCUUGAUACUGACGGGCUUGAAUGAACUAGAGGUAGGCGGAAUGUGACAAGUAGCGGUGAAAUGCAUAGAUAUGUCACAGAACACCGAUUGCGAAGGCAGCUUACUAUGGUUUUAUUGACGCUGAGGCACGAAAGCGUGGGGAUCAAACAGGAUUAGAAACCCUAGUAGUCC